rnacentral:rRNA from 1 species
GGUGAAGCCUCGGGAUUGUGGCUUGUUUCCUUUAUUGGAACCUUGCCGUGAGAACCUGUCUAAACCUUAUCACUUAGAGGAAGGUGAAGUCGUAACAAGGUUUCCGUAGGUGAACCUGCAGAAGGAUCAUUACCACAUAGAUCUACCUGGAUCAAACCUCGCGAGAAGACCGAACGUGCGUCGCAAAGUCACCGUCCACGUCAUCGAUCAAACCUCAAACAAAUAUCCUAUUGAAGCGAGCAUCUUAUGUUUACGGAUGUAGGGUAUCUCAUGCAAUUGGCUCCGGUCAUUUGCAGAGACCACAAUACCUUAACUAUAAGCUAAAUUAGAAUGAGGCGCAGCGUCGAACUUUCGAGAACGGCCGCGGCCCCCAUUCGUGUAAAUCACAAUGUCAUAUACGACUUUCAGCAAUGGAUGUCUUGGCUCCCACAUCGAUGAAGAACGCAGCGAAAUGCGAUACGUAAUGCGAAUUGCAAGACUUCGUGAAUCAUCAAAAUUUUGAACGCACAUUGCACUUCAGGCUUUUGCCGGGAGUAUGCCUCUUUGAGUGUCCGCAAACCCCCUUCGUCUACUUAUGCAUGUUUACAUGUACUUAGGAGACGGUUUGUUGAUGUUGUUGUCAUUCGUUGACUGCGAUGAAGUAUACAUAAGAUUGUGCCGCGUGUAUAUUAGCGCUGUUGAAUUGUUUAUGGUUUUGACAUAGCAUUCUCGAUCAAUCGUUGGUGAACAUCAAAAGAUGGAUCGUAGUUUGCACUACUGUGUUAUAUUCCGUACAUAGAUGGUUUAGCAUUGUAAAUAUAAACGAGGGAACGACUGUGGAAAUGUACUGAAGUGGCAUUCUACACUGACGUAGAGGAUCUAUCCUUUCGUUUGUCUUCGGAUCUCAAAUGAAGUAAGAGUACCGGUUGAAUUUAAGCAUAUCAUUAAACCGAGGAAA